rnacentral:rRNA from 1 species
UCAAGCUACAAAGGGCGCAUGGUGAAUGCCUUGGCAUCAGGAGCCGAUGAAGGACGUGAUAAGCUGCGAUAAGCUUCGGGUAGGCGCACAUAGCCAGUGAUCCGGAGAUUUCCGAAUGAGGGAACUCACAUGGGAAACCCCAUGUACCGUAUAGUGAAUACAUAGCUAUACGGAGGUAAACCUAGGGAACUGAAACAUCUAAGUACCUAGAGGAAGAGAAAGAAAAAUCGAUUUUCUGAGUAGCGGCGAGCGAAAGGGAAAGAGCCCAAACCAGUGACUUGUCACUGGGGUUGCGGACAGAGCAUUAACGAGAAGAUGUUAUUAACCGAACAUAACUGGAAAGUUAGACCGUAGGAGGUAAUAGUCCUGUAGGUGAAAGUAACAUUUAUCAAGCUUUGAUCCAGAGUACCACGAGACACGUGAAACCUUGUGGGAAGCAGGGAGGACCACCUCCCAAGGCUAAAUACUACCUGAUGACCGAUAGUGAAGCAGUACCGUGAGGGAAAGGUGAAAAGAACCCCGGGAGGGGAGUGAAAUAGAACCUGAAACCGUGUGCCUACAACCGGUCAAAGCCCCAUAUGAGGGUGAUGACGUGCUUUUUGUAGAACGAGCCAACGAGUUACGGUAUGUAGCAAGGUUAAGUACUUAAGGUACGGAGCCGAAGGGAAACCGAGUCUUAAUAGGGCGACUAGUUGCAUGCCGUAGACCCGAAACCGGGUGACCUAUCCAUGGCCAGGUUGAAGCGAGGGUAAAACCUCGUGGAGGACCGAACCACGUUGCUGUUGAAAAAGCAUGGGAUGAGCUGUGGAUAGCGGAGAAAUUCCAAUCGAACUCGGAGAUAGCUGGUUCUCCCCGAAAUAGCUUUAGGGCUAGCGUCGGAUAUGUGUAGUGGAGGUAGAGCACUGAAUGGGCUAGGGGGCAUAUCGCUUACCGAACCUUAUCAAACUCCGAAUGCCAUAUACAUUUAGUCCGGCAGUCAGACUACGAAUGAUAAGAUCCGUGGUCAAAAGGGAAACAGCCCAGAUCGUCAGCUAAGGUCCCAAAGUGUAAGUUAAGUGGAAAAGGAUGUGGGAUUUCUAAGACAACUAGGAUGUUGGCUUAGAAGCAGCCACUCAUUUAAAGAGUGCGUAAUAGCUCACUAGUCGAGAGAUCCUGCGCCGAAAAUGUCCGGGGCUAAAACUUACCACCGAAGCUACGGGCUUGCGUAAGCAAGCGGUAGGGGAGCGUCGUAAUCGGGCUGAAGUCGUACCGUAAGGAGCGGUGGACUGAUUACGAGUGAGAAUGUUGGCAUUAGUAGCGAGAUGUAGGUGAGAAUCCUACAGGCCGAAUAUCUAAGGUUUCCUCAGGAAGGCUCGUCCGCUGAGGGUUAGUCGGGACCUAAGCCGAGGCCGAAAGGCGUAGGCGAUGGACAACAGGUUGAUAUUCCUGUACCACUACCAUCGUUAUUAUCGAGGGUGUGACGGAGAAGGAUAGUGUGUGCUAGCGAUUGGAAAUGCUAGUCUAAGCGUUUAGGCAGUUACGGUAGGCAAAUCCGCUGUAAUGUUAAUGCUGAGGCGUGAUGGGGAAGGCCCUUGAGGCUGAAGUACAUGAUUCCAUGCUUCCAAGAAAAGCAUCUAGAGAGAGAAGUAGUGCCCGUACCGCAAACCGACACAGGUAGAUGAGGAGAGAAUCCUAAGGCCGGCGGAAGAAUUGCAGUUAAGGAACUAGGCAAAUUGACCCCGUAAGUUAGCGAGAAGGGGUGCCUACGAGAGUAGGCCGCAGAGAAUAGGCCCAAGCAACUGUUUAGCAAAAACACAGGUCUCUGCUAAAGCGCAAGCUGAUGUAUAGGGGCUGACGCCUGCCCGGUGCUGGAAGGUUAAGGGGAACACUUAGCGCAAGCGAAGGUGUGAACUUAAGCCCCAGUAAACGGCGGCCGUAACUAUAACGGUCCUAAGGUAGCGAAAUUCCUUGUC